AUUAUUGAAGAGGAAGUGGGGUUUGCACAUCAAGUGCCUUCAAUCAAUAAUCUGUUGAUUCCAUUUAUGAAUGAAAAGAAAGGAAAAUGGCCCCUUUCCUUACUUCUGUGGGAGCUAUAGGGAAUUUCUGCUCUAUCAGGCCCAUGAAUUGCUCCUGAUAUAUGUCCAUAGGUCCAUCAAUGCAAUUCAAUGAGUAAUUUUCAGUUAAUCUAUUUCUUGUAGUAGAAAUGUUUUUAGAAAAAUUAACCAUCAAAGUGUUUUUCUAAAAAACACUCCCAAUGAUUUGUUUUUUUAAAACCUUUUUUAGGUGUUUUAUUAAAGCACUGUCAAGCCAACUCGAACUGUAUCAAUAAGUACUGUUAACAAUGGACCAGCUAACUUUCUAGAGAAACCAGUGAGCAUGGAACACACCAGGAAUAUGAAAGUUGACAUUCUCAGUCAUGGGCAUCCAUUCUAGCAAGAGGACUUUUUUUUUUUCCUUCUAAGAGCAGAUUCCUUUGGCCCAACAAAUUUAUUCAAAAAACAAAAGAAAAAUGAAAGAAAUGUGGAGACAGUGCAAUAUGACACUUUUCGAAGCCCCAUAAUUGUUGUCUUCCAUGUGCCAAUUAAAAAUUAUAAAAUAUAACUAGUUUGCGGCCUCGAUUGUUGGAGAUGGUUAUGCUUUUCUGUAUGAGAAAAGAUUUUAGUCACAUGUCAAAAUUUACUGCAGAAAGGAAUUCAGUAUGGGAAAAUUUUUAAGCAAUUUUAAGUACUUCUCCAAUCUGAACUUGAUUCCUUUAAGCUUGGGUGUCUUUACAAUGAAUUUUUCAUUCAAGUGUCUAAAGUAAUUUUACCCUAGUUUUGAUGAAAACGUUCGUGGUGGGCUUGAUCUUGAUCUUGAUCUCCUUUUAUGUCAAAGUUUUGAAAAAACAAUUUGGUAUGAGAGACGGCAAAACGUUCCUGGUUACUCAUAUUUUCGAUUCAUAAAUUAUUGUAGAGGUCACUGGUGCAGGGCCAGAUGGUAAAAGCUGUGAUAUCCAUUCAAAUAGCAAGCCGCAUGUUGUUGAUAACUUGAUACAACUGCCACGUUUGGGAAAAUAGAGCUUAAACUAUUACAACCCUUUAUCCUUAUUUGUAGAAUAUCACACGUAAUCAUAUGUGUUGGGUUCAACUGCGGCAGGAUUUGUGAGAGCCGCAGAAGUGGACUUGCAUGAGUGUAGCAUGAAGUUGCAGGCUCCCACUGCCUCUGCCACCGUCAAAUACAUCCAUUCCUCUCCAAUUUUUUCAAUCAUCUUCGACUUGUCCAGCUUCUUCAUCACUUCACUUCCAGGAUUUGCUAAUGCAAGCUGAAUGGAUUACAAUCCAUGAUCAGUCAACAUAUAAGUCAGCCUUAGAGGAAAGAAUACUUUCAGACAAGUUAUAAAUGAUUAGUAUAAUUAACAAAACAAUGAGAAACUAAUUCUAGGUACCUGGAGACCCCUUCUAUCGACAUUCUUCCUGACUUCUUCAAGCAUGUGGAUUCCACUUGCAUCAAUGCUACUCACAGCUGGAAUUUAAGAAUUUUUCGAGUAUUAAAGAAAGUGAUUAAUGCAUAUAUAUAUAUAUAUAUAUAUAUAUAUAUUACCGAACUUUUCAUGUCUGAAUAGGGGUUGAUUGUUUACCACUCAUAUCUAAUAUGACAUAAUGUAAGCUGGUUUCUCCCGCAGAUUUUAGCCUGUCUUCCUCCUCAUAUAUCCAUCUCGAUAUCCUACGAUCAAUAGCCAAGAAUCAAGAUAAGUAUUGCUUUAUGCGAAUUGAGAAUCUAUUAUGAUCAGUCCUUGUAUCAGGGUUAUAAAUAUAUACCUUUCCCUUAAGUAGCUAGUAUUAGCAAAGUAGAUUGGAGCAUCAAUACGGAGAAUGAGCAUUCCCGGAACAUUAGCAGCAGCUGGAUACUGUUCAAUGCUUCUGUAGGUUAUGGAGUUAGGAAUGUUGCCUAGAGCAUAAGUCCUUGGCCUUGACAAGGAUAGAAGCAACCUGAGCAUGGAAAUGGUGACCUGCAUUCCCCAAUAGUUAAAUCAAAUAAUGAAUCUGACUGUCAUCUAUUCCAGCUUCAAACAUUCAGUAUAUAUAUAUAUAUAUAUAUAUAUAUAUAUAUAUUAAUUUCACAUACCGCAAUAAUUAAGCCAAUUUCAACACUGCCGAAGACCACACCAAGAAAUGCACUUAUGCUCACAAAGAAGUCGAAUUUGUCGAUCGUCCAGAGAUGGAUGAUACCCCCAUAGUCUAUCAGGCCGAGCAUGGCAGCAAUGAUUAUGGAGGCGAGCACCACAAGAGGAGUGUAAUGGAAGAGCGGGGUCAGGAAUAGUAGUGUCAUCAUCACUGCUGUUGCCAUGACAAUGUUGGAAGCUGCUGUCUUGCAACCUGCAUUGAAGUUCACUGCUGUCCGCGAAAAGGGUCCUGCAAUAACAGGUUUUUUAGAACCAGAAAUAAUGAAUAUGGGGAUGAGAAAAUAUACAAAUUUAAUGACCUAGAGAGGUAAUUUAGAGCGACAAACAAUGGUACCUGUGGUCAAGUAGCAAGAAGUUAAAGAGCCCACGAGAUUCAUCAUUCCAAAUGCGAUCAUUUCUUUGUUCCCGUCAAUGUGAUAGUUCUUAUACAUGGCGAAGCUUCUUCCCACUGCGACUCCUUCCUGUACCCCGUCCAUCAAUUGAGCUAUGUAUGUUAGCCCUCCCACUAGGAAAAAUCCUUAAAUUUACACUAUUUAUGUCGAAAAAAAAGGUAGUUUAACUGAAUGAAUUCUAAAAGACUAAUGCUAUCCAUCGUGAUCAAACAGGUUCAAUGAAUUGCUUCUGAAUUCUCACAAUGGCAUUUGUUACAAAAUAUCGUUUGGGAAAGCAUUGAAACCCCCUUUCAAAACGUUUCUCUUUCCCCCCUUUUUAUCGCCUUAUUAGCUGAAACAAAUUUUAGUAUAUUCUUUUCGUAUGUUGAAAAUUCAUUUCUACCACCUCAGUAAACUCGUAAAUUGUUGGAAAAACAUAGGAAACUCUAACAUUCCUCUUUCCCUUGCCUCCAUGCGCUGAAAGAUCUAGCAAUAAACCGGAGGAAAAGAUCAAUGGAAGGGGUAGUUGGGAUAUUUUGAUCACAUGCAAUGUCCAAUAUAUAUGGGUUGAUCACCGCCGACAAACUGAGUUGCCAAAUUUUCAGCGCUCAUAGGCAUUAGAAUGGAUGCUAUAGUGUGAUGACGAGAGGGAUUAGAACUUACAGCUAGGGAUAUGAUCCCAAUGGUGGCUCCUGCUUUAAUGGCUGUCAUCAGAUAUGGUGACCCAAAACCCAGUUCAGACACAGAUGGUGGAUUCAACCCUUUCUUCAAGUGCCCAAUCUGCAUAUACAAAAGAAAUUGCAGAUAUCAGGCACAGCAUAUUAGAACCCUGAUCCAGAAACGUUACAGGAAGGUUGACUCGCUGGUCAGGGAGAGAUGGGUGUUCACUCACCACUUGGACACCAUGUUUCUCAGCAUGGGUCAUAUAGACUAGAAUGCUUCCCAAAAUCACAGACGUUAGAGGCGCCAUGGCGUUUAUCCAGAAGAAGGCUUGUUUUCUCUUGCUCUGCUCGGUUUUCAAUGUCACCAUGAACAGAUGAUGCAUACUUUAGUGUUAAAAGUGGAAAAACAUAGGCAGAGUUCUACAAUUAUUUUGCUCUGUUUUGAAACAAGACAAAGUGCUCUAGUUUUACAAUUAUUUUAUGCUAUUAGAAAACAAGGCAAAGUGCUCUUGAAUAAUGUCUUUUGUAACUUCUCAAUCAUAUAUGAAUUGAAUAUAAACAAUAAAUUUGACAAAUCAUCUUUGGUUGGAAAGUUUCUUAAAUUUUUAGUUGGUAUAAUUUUUUUUUUUUUUAAAUAUUUUCAUAUAUCAUUGUAAUUAAAUUUAUUGUGAAAUAAAAAAAACCAUUAAUAAUAUCUAUGAAUAUAAGGAGAAUAGUUUACGAAAUAAAACCGAGGUGGUGGAUAGAGAUGUGAAGAGAUUAAAAUAAGAAAAUUUAUAAUUUAAAGUGAAAAUAUAAAGAAAUUGUCAAAACUCGAAUAGUUAUAUCAGUUCUUUUGUCUUUUAUAAUAUUAUCGGUAACAUAAUGAAGUAUUAUUUCUUAUCUGUGGAUAUAAACAUGGUUGGUAAAACCACGUGAAAACCUUGGCAGACCUUUCUACAUGGAGGAUUAUUACAUCUUUACAUUCUUUCGUUAGCAUGAUUAUAAUAGUAUUGCUUGAGUAAGUUCUUUUUCGAUUUUGAAUUCAAUUAUUGGGUUCCAUAAAUCUGAAAAUAAAUAAGACGAGAAAUGGAGAGGGUUCAGAUAAUUCACUUACAUAGUAUUUUGUGAGGAUGAGGAAUGAUAGAAAAACACAGCCCAAGACACAACUUUCCCAUCUCCACUGCAACAACCCAACACCAUAGCCACCAUUAACAUUGGAAAAAGAAAAAUGGAAACCUGGCCCAAUUUCAAUUUAAAAUAGACUAAAAAAAUAUGAAAAUUGUAGUGGAAGGGAACCUGGUGCGUUUGAGUGAAUACGGCUCGCAGUACCGAUACGAUGUCGGUCUCUAGUGUAAAAUGAACCAGACCCAGGAUACCUUUCAGCUGCUGUAAACAAACAAUUAUGGCUGCUCCAUUCAUGAACCCCACUAUUGCUGCAUGUGACAGAAAGUCCACGAGAAACCCUAGUCUGCAAGUCAUAUUUUAAUUACAAAAUAUUUGUUACAACUCUGAGGGAAACCAGAGAGAGUCAUAUAUAUAUAUAUAUAUAUAUAUAUAUAUAUAUAUAUAUAUUCCAAAAUGUUGUUUAACAAACCGACCUUAAGAACCCCAGGCAAGUUUCGAUCACUCCAGCAAAGAACGUGGCAGUGAAGACUGCCUGAAGAUAAAUCUUUGGGUUCUCAGUUGGAUUGAUCUCUCUCCCAAUCAUGGAACUUAGGAGGAGUGAUCCAACGGCAUUAGUACCCACUGCCAUGUCUCUGGAGCUUCCGAACAUGGCGUAUAUCAAGGGAGGCACAAAGCUCGAAUCUGCAUUUCCCAAUACAUAAGUUUACACUUCUCAGAAAGAAAUUAUAAAAAUUUAUUCUAAAAUAUGCUUUCUCAUCAGCACUCACAUAAUCCCUGAAUGGCGGGCACGUUCGCUAAUUUUGCAUAACUUAUCCCUUGAGGAACGGCAAGACUAGCAAUAGUAAUUCCCGCUAUUAAAUCAGCUUUGAAGAACUCAAAAGUAUAGCGAGGAGCCCACUCGAAGAUAGGUACCAAGUAUUGUAACCCUAAUACAAACUUCCUGGAAGGAGACUGGUUCUUGAAUUGCCUAAAAGGGUCAUCGGGAAAGAUAGUCUCUUUGAAAGUUGAACUCAAGGAAGCAGAAAAAGAUUUUUUUGGAGGGACAGCAACUCGACGUGGGGUUUCACAAUUGGAGUUACCCAUUCGAUCCUUGGUUCUGAAUUUAGAUCAGAUGCUACUACUCCUGAACUUAGAAAAGGUGAGAGUAGCAGUACCGUUAUGGUACCACAAGAUAUGUGUGUGGUGCAGUUAGGUCGGCUGUGCUAAAUGUUGAGUGGCCUAGAACAUAUGGUGCACGGACUUAGGUUUUUUCAAUCAAAACCAUGAAAACUCAUCUCAGUGAAGAUCCUGAAAGAGAUGGGUAUGGUGAGUGGGAGAGGGUUUGAAGAGGAGGGUUUGGUGGCAAUGGUGUGGAGGGGAGUGCAGUGAGUGAGCAAGGGAGGGGGUGGUCCUGUUUAUAUAAGGUUUGAGUUCUGAGCGGGGUAUGUACACAUGUGUGGUGUCCCCAUGUGAGAUAUUGGGACUCCGGACCCACAUGUAAAACCCACACGUGCCACCCAACUCAGCCUCAAUUUCUUCGCACAGUGAGGCCCCAACCGAGGAAGGUGGGCAGCUCACAUGUGUUCGGGAGAGGCCUGGCCCCUCUGAAAAUUGUUGAUUGCACCUCCCAUGAUUAGCAAUAUUUAACUCUGGACUUAUCAAAUUCUGAUUGCACCAGCUUGCUUUGGCACUAAAUGAGGUGCACACAUUUUUUUCUUUUCUUUUUUUUGUUUUGCUCACUGUUUUAAGCACUUCUCUAACUUUACGAUCCUGGGUUUUACACCAGAAAACUAUUAAUAGUUUCCAUAUUAGAGAAGGUAUUAGAAUCUCUAACCAACUCUUUCUCUUAGGUCAUUAACUUAAUUAUGCUUUAAUUGAUCAUUCAAAUAGGAUGCAUGUGGCGUGUGGAACUCUACUUGAAUCAACUACCACCAUUUGCUAAGCUCUGAGGAGAGUCCUAGCGAAAAAAAAAACACGCAUGAAAGAUAUGGUUAUCAGCCUCUACUAGUGGGGUGUGAUCAAGCUUUAAAAUUCAUGAAACUUGACUGGUUUCUCCGAUCCAUGAGGAGGAGGAUAAGCCUGUGGGAAAGCAGUUAAAUCGUACACAUAGCAAGUGGACUUAAUGAUGUUUGGAUGAAAUAAAAAAGUCUUGGAAUUAAACAAACAACAUAUGUUUUUGCUAGACGCCUUUAACUGUCAGGUUCAUCUCCAAGUUCCCAGCAUGCACCAUUGGGGAAAGGCCACCGGUGAUGGGCCAUUUCUGAGGUGAUGAAUGACGUCAUUUUUUUUUUCCAAUUAUGAUUCUCUCUCUAUUUUAUUUUUGUCAGGGGAAGAACAAGUCAACCCACCCUUUGGGUUGACCACACAUGGUUUAAUCACAAUUGCAUGUAAGUUGAAACUUUUACUAAGUUCCGUUUGAUUUCCAAGAGAUUGGAGAAAUUAUUUCAAAUUAGGGGUAUGCAAUCAAAUUGAUAGGACCAGAUUUUAAGGUUAUGUUUGAUUUUGGAAAAAUUUUAAAAAAGUAUAUAAGAAAAAAAGAAUAUAAAAAAAUAGAAGGAAUAUUUUUCCCCUGCAUACCAUCAAAGAUUGAAAAAAUGUGCGAAAAAAAAUUGUAUGGCUUCUUGGAUGGAUAACCCAAUUAUGUAGGUCCGACUAAUUAUGAGUUAUACGCUUCCAUAGAUAAUUUUAAUUUCAAUUUAAAAUUCUUGAAUUAAAGUCAAUUUCAAAGUCAAUAAUUGCCGACCCAGCUGGGACACUAGCAGACAAUUGAGGCACAAACUAGGUUAGGUAAAAAGUUCUUUUUGCCAACUCUGAUAUAAGCUUAUGCAAAUAGAAGGGUAUUAAUUUAUGCUUAUUUUGGCAUUUGAUUAAUGUAUAUGCUUGGUUUAUAAUUAUUCAAAUGACAAGCACGUGGUGAUAUUAUUUCAUAAAUCAUAAAAAUAUUAUUAAAUCAUUUUUAUUUGAGAUGAAUGACAAUCUGGUCAUCUAACUUUAUACAUUUAAAUAAAUUUAAAAAUAUUUACUAUAUAUAUUUUUUAGAUUAUUACUAUUAUUAAAAAUUUAUUACUAUUAUUGCAAAGAUAAAUUAAUUGAAAGAUAUAUGUUUUAGCUUAUUAUUAUUGUUAAUUAUGGGGAUGUUUGAUAAAACUCAAUACUUAUUACUUAAUGACUUAAGUUGAUUUUAAGUUAAAUUAUACUUAUGUCGUGUUUGUUUUUUGGUUGAAUAGAAAAAAUCAAAUAUCUAAAAGUAACUUAUUGACAUCAACCAAUAUAAUUAAAUUAAACUUAUUGAUAACAAGUUCACUUUAGUUAAAUUGGUUAAUAUCAGUAAAGUACUUUUAGGUGAAUAGAAAAAGUCAAAUAUUUUAGUUUUUUCUAUUCAACCAAAAAACAAACAUCACCUUUAAAUUACUGACUUAAAACUUAUUACUUAAUUUUUAUAUUAAAGUUGUUUGAUAAAGUCCACUUAAAACAUAUCCAAAAUUAUUAAAUUUAUAUAUUUAUCCUCAUAAAUUAUAAUUAGAAUAAAAGAAAUCGAGUAAUAGUAGAGGUUGUAGAGUAGGAAAAGAUAUCAUAGAGAUAACUAAAGUAAAUAAAAAUAAAAAUGUGAACUUAAGAAUUUAAUUAUUUUACUUAUUACUUAAAAUUAUUUUUUAUUUUAAAUCACACCAUUAAAUUAUUUUACCAAACAUAUUUAAUUUAUUUAAUAAUUUAAAUUAAAUUAUUAAGUCACUUUUAAGUUAAUAGGUUAGUGGACCAAACACCCACUAUGUAUCCAACUUAAUCUAUAUAUUUUUGUUGUACAGUUACCUAAAUAUCAAAUUCUUUUUGCGCAUGAAAAAUAAUUAGUAAUAUUACACAAAUAUAAAAUAUGAUUAUAAGUUAUUGGACUAUAGGUUAUUGACUUUUGUUGCAUAUGCACUUUGUACUAUGCCCUUUCAAACAAAUUUCAACUCUUUAUUUUAUUAAAUAUAUGAAUAUUUAAAUUAACUAGAGAAGCAAUUGUACUUAUCAAUUGACUCAAAUUAAUUUUCAUAUUUAUCCAAUUUUUAUCUUGCGGCACCAAAUUUCUUAUUUUCUUUUUAUUUUAUUUUUCCUUUCUUAUUUUGCCAUUUUUGAAGCUUCUACAUAGCUUGGCAGACUACCAUGUUUUGCAUUCAACCAUUUAAGUUAUUUUCUAAACAAUUAUUACAAAUUAAUUAUUUAUUUUAUUUUCAAAGUUUAGCCAGAUAUUCAUGAACUGAAUUAGAUAAAUUUGUAAAAUCAAUUUAAUAACUUAAUAACUUAAUUUAAAUAUAAUAAAAUAACUUAAUAUUAUAACGUAAAAUCAUUUUAAAUUUUAAGUAUUAAAUCAAAAUAGUUAACACCUCAUUUGCCCACACUAAUGAAAAUAUAUUUCAGAAUUAUAAUUCUAAAUACAUAAUUUAUUUUUUAUAAUAAAUAUUUUAUGAUUAUAUUAUAUGUCUAUAAUGCUUAGAUAUACAUGUUUUAUAAAUAAAUUUAUUACUUCAAAUUAAUGAAAAUAAAUAUGAGUUAAAAUCAAUAAAAAUAAAAUUAAUUUGAUGAUUUAAAAUAAAAAUUAAGUAAAUCAUUAACUAAUAAAUAUUAAAAAAAUUAUAUUUAAAUCAAACAUUAAGAUAAAGUUACUGUCAAACAAUAAAAUAGAAAUAAUUGAUUCCAAAUUUUCGUUCCAGGAAUGAUUAACCCAUUUCAUUACUCAUUCAAGGAGUCAUGAAAUCAAAGGGAAUCUUUUAUUUUUCUUUGACUAAUGAUUAAGACGAAGGGAGAAAUCUUGGUAGACGAAUAAGUGAUAAGUAAAAAAUAAUUAGUCAUUUUUUGUGGCCAGUUUUAAUUUCAACUUGGAAAAUUUGACUUCAAAUCAGUUUCAGAGAUUUGACAGUUGCCAACCCGGGAGAGCACCAAUUUUGGUGGAAGGUAUUUCUGCCGACUCCGGAGAGUUUUAGGCGAAAUAAAGAAUGUAAGGGACAAAUGCAGACGAAAAUUGCUGGGGACAAGGAAAGAAGGAUGUGAUGAAACGUCGUGGUCAGGGCCAAAGGGUGGCAAGCAUGGCAUGAUGUGGGGAUUGAUGAUGGCCAGUGAGAAUUUUGAGGUGGGCAUGGAAUUGGAAUUUGUUUGACCUUAUAGAAAAUGGGGAAUUUUCAUUUCUUCCUCUUUUUCCGUUUUGGGUCUUAUCUUUCUCUCUUCUCAUCAUAAGAGUGAAUGAUGAUGGCAGGCCCAUUUCUUCCCUGAUUGCUGGGUUUACUUCUCUUAUCCUCCCCCGCAAAUCUUUGAUCGCUUUAGAAAACACGUCACUAGUUUGAUGCUUUACGCAUUUGCAUUUCUUUAUAUAUAUACACACGAUAUGAAUUGCCACUUUCUGCAUGCCCAACUGCCACAUAUCUUACUCAUUGAUUGCAAUGAGCAGGAAACAGAGCACUAAGUUGAAAUGAAGUUAUAUAUUUCUUUGUUCUUCUUCUAUGAUUCCAUGGAGGCCCUAGUAACAGAGGACUUCCAAUGAGUCGGAUGUUUUGGACCGUGAGUUUCUUAUGUGUAGAGUUCCAGGUUCUGGAAUGGCCUUUGUUGUGUCAAAUCAUGGUAAUGUCAAAGGGCCGGCGUUGAUGGACGGUUGUUUGGGAAAAUAAUCGAAUUGAAAUUGUACGGGGCAAAUCGAUCGACACUUGAAUGAAAUGGAAAUCCCACUAACAACCCGAACUUUAGUGUAAAAUAAAAAAAUAUAUAAAAAAAAAGGCAAAAUUCUUGUGAAACACAUGCAAUUUUUGUGAGUGGCUGGUUGGAAAUGUGGCUUAGGUCGGACUUCAUGUGGCGAAUAUUUAUUUAAAGGCAACUUAUUUCCUAGCAGACGCAACUGGAGUGGGGUGUCAGUAAAGGACAAGGUAUAACAAUAAUUGAGCUCGCCGGCCACAUGGAACAGUCUCAACGUUCAAGCGUGGAGCACUGCCAUCAGGCAUCAUCAUGGUUCGUGGAGUACUUACUUGAAUGGAAGGAUGGAUAAACAUCAAGUAGGGCACUGUAUUUCCCGUACGUAACUCGAGGAAAAAACCAAGGUUUGGUUAGAAUAGUUUUCGAAAAUUCCAAACUAAAAAAAUGAGAAAAAUAUGCGUGAUAACUAUUUUUUUUUCCUUAAAAAUAGUUCCAUAUAACAUAUUUUAAUUAUUUUUUUAUUAUUUUUAUUUAGUUUUUGAAAAUUAUUUUAAAAAAUAAUUAUAUAAGCAUAUAUAAUGAUUAAAAAUAAAAUAUUAGAUAUAAAAUUAUUUUUAAAAUAUAUUUUAAAAUAUUAAAAUAAGAUAAAAAUAUUUUGAGUUUUCAAAUAAACUUUUAUUUUAUAAAAUAUUAAAUAACAGUUUUCAAAUACUGUUUUAAAAAAUAAUUACCAAAUAUAUCAUAAGGUAUCAAAGAGGUUGUCUAAUUUGUGAUCUCUAUCCUUAAAAUAUAUGAAAAAAAUAAAUAAAUAAAAUCAAAAUAUAAAAUAAUGAGAUUUAGAUAUUUAUAUGAUAUAAUUGAAUUAAUUAUAUCUUUUCAUAAAUAUUUUUUUAGUAAAGAGUUAAUGAGUCAUGUUCGUGUCAUGUCAAAAUUAAGGUAUUCUAUUAUAUAAGUCAACCCAAAUUCGACCUAAAUAAUAAUCAUAUUAAAAGCAUAUAUAAAUUUAAAUAUUACCUAAUUAUAAACAGAUAACACGUGGUAUGAUCCAUUUAAUCCAUUUAAUAAUCACGUCCUUUUAUAUAAUAAUUAUGUUGAGUUUAUAUAAGUUUAUACGAUUAAUACCUUAAUCAAAGGUAUUUAUGACUCAAUUAACUUAUUUGUUUAAAAAUAAACUUAAAAUGAAUUAAAUAUGUAUCAAAUAGUUUAAAAUUAUAAUUAAGUUAAUCAAAAGAAUUAUUAAACAAGUCAAUUCAUAUCAAAUUCAUGUUAUGUAGGUUGACUUAAAACCUACUUAUUUAUUAAACAUAUUAUAUAAGUGGACACAAAUUUGAUUCAAACUCAAUUAUACUCAACUCAAAUUUAUGAAAAACAUGUUAAGUUCUAAUCAUAUUGACGAAUCGUAUCAAACUUUAUCAUCCUUAUUUUUUAGUAUCAUAAUUGAACUAAUUAAAUAUAUAACUAUAAAACUAACAAGUUCACUUUAAUUAUAAAGAUUGAUAUCAAUAUAUUACUUUUAAUUAAAUUUAUUUAUUUUUCUAUUGACUCAAAAUACAAACACUUAUCUUCUACUAUCUAUUCAUGCGGAAUCUUCAUCAAUUAUUGGGGACCAUGCAGGUCCCGCAAGUGGUAGAGUGACCGCGCACUCAUGUUGGAUGUCUCAAAAGAUUCUUGAGUAAACUCGAAAGUAGAUAUUAAGAACUUUAUUUGAAUAAAAAGAAUGAUAAAAUUGAAAAUCUACAUUUUAUUUUUCUUCGGUUGUGUGUUAUUUCCUUGAGGCAACUCUGGGUGGGGCGUAGAGCAUUAGGACAACUUAUAGUGCCAUUUAAAGUAAAGAAAGAGAUUUGUGGAGUGAAGUGGGUAAUGAGCUCUGGAUAAGUUUAUGGCUGUAAUUUGAAAAACCAAUAUGCUGAUGAUGAGGCGAGAGACAACUGGGGACCCCAAAAAUGUUGUGGUCUAAUGGCCGGUGCAUGCAUGCACAUGCACCUGAGCAAUAUUAGUGGUGUUGGAGGCACCGCCAUCUGAGUUGCCUAAAAGGACUGAUACCAAAGAUUUUGCGGAUCAUCUCAUGUAAGUAGGAGUUGGACACAAUUUUUGUCUACUAUGUCAAAUGUCGGUGUGUUCAAUGUAGAAUGUUGGAUUGACCCUAAGUACAAUGAAGCUCGAGAAAAAUCUGUUUUGCCCUUUGUACGAUGAAUUGGAAAAAAGGAUUUGCCAAAUACGCCUGUUUAUAAACGAUUGUGGAUGUGGAUAUCGUUUCUACAACCCACGGUUUCUUCACUCUCUUUGUCCCUUUUUUCUUUUCCUUUUACCCAAGUCGCAUGGGAAAUCAUCUUUAUAGAAGGCUCAUAUCUUUUCUGCUCAUUGAAAACGUCUUUAUAAAACAAUGCUGUCAAAUAAUUUUUUUUCACAACACUUUUUUGCUUUUAUUUUUUUAUUUUUUUGAAAAUGUUUUUUUUUUUCUUAUUUUUGGAAAACAUCUUUUGCCAAGACGCUUUUAAUUAUACUUUAUUAUAAAAUAAUUAAAAUAGAAGUUUUAGAGUAUAUAUAUAUAUUUUUUUUCAAAUUUGAUAAGUCUCUUCAAAAUAAAAGUACCUUUUAAAAAUUAUUUAUUUAAUAGAUCAUUUUUUUUUACUAUAUUUGAGAAAAUGGUUUUCAAUAUUUGAUACUAGAUUAUUAGGUUGAAAUUCAGUAUGUUUACUCGCACUCAAUUGUAUAGACAUGAUUUGUUUUGGGUGCAAAUAGAUUUUCACAUCUUUAAAACAUAUUUACAAAGUUUAAAGGAGACUAUAUUUAUAUAGUAUUAUGAACUUUUUCUCAUAUUUAAUGUGGAACAUCAUAAACACUUUUUAUGCAGGCACAAUGUCAUCAUUAUAUCCCACAAGAUUACCGAAUCAAACAAACAGACAUCCGUCAUGGGGCCAAAAAAAUUCCCUAAUGGGGUUAAAAAAACCUUGCACCGGGGUAGAGAUUAUUUUUUAUACCAUUUGUAACAACUCACAUUUAACUAUAUAAAUAUUAUCCACUUUGGGAGUAUGUUUAGCCCUAUAAAAGGUGUCUAUUUGUUUUGCCUUGUAAUUUCAUGGGGAUAUAAUGAGAAUGUUAUGUUUGCAUUAACGGGUGUUUGUAAUGUCCUAUAUCAAAUAAAGGAAAAAAAUUUAAACACUAUAUAAAUAUAAACUUCUCUUAAUCUUGUAAAUCCAUUUUAAUGUCAUGAGAACCCAUUUGGGUUCAGAAUUAAUAAUAUUUAUAAAGUUUUGCAGGUUGUUAUAAAUGGUAUUAGAGUCAAUCCAUAAUCUCGGUGUAGGGGUUUAUUUGGUCUUAUAAAGACGAAAACUUUAUAUCUAUAUGAGGGGUAAUUAUAAUAUCUUACAUCAAAUAUAAAAGAAAUUUUCUGAAGUUAUACAAGUAUGAGUUUCUUUUAACUAUGUAAACAUAUUUUAAAAUUGUAAAGAUCUCUUUGGAUUCAAAAUAAAUAAUAUUUAUAUGAUUGGAUGUCAAUCAUUUAAGUAUGUAAGUAAAGUCGAAAAAACCGACAAACUAAUCCAAACCAACCAAAACUGAUCAUAUUGGUUUGGUUUUCAAAAAUAAAAAAGGUCAGUUAAGUUUGAGAAUUUUGAAAACCAUUUUGUUGGUGCAAUUUUCGAUUUUCUUGUCUUAUAAAUGAUAAAAACCAAUUAAAACCAACCAAAAUCGAUCAUAUUAGUUCAAUUUUCAAAAAUAAAAUAAGUCAGUUCGAUUUGAGAAGUUUAAAAACUAAUCUUAUCGAUGCGGUUUUCGAUUUUAUUAUAACUAAAAAAAAAAAAAAACCAAACUAAUAUUCUAAAACUUAAAUAUAAUUGUUUGAUAUUUAAUAAUUUUUUAUUAGAUUUUAUUAAACUAAUUCAUUAUUUUUAUAUUAUAGUCAAAUUAAUUGCAAAUGCAUUUAAUAUAUUUUUAACAUCAAAUUCAAGUUAAUUUCAAUAAAUUUUAAAAACAAAUUAGAUUUAGGGUCUAAUAUAAACUCAAAUUAAUAGGAUUUAUGCUCAAAAUAAACACAAAUCUAUAACCAUGUUUAGGACUAAAAAAAAAGGCUAUUAAGUUGGAUUAAAAUCGAUCUAUAAAAAUCCAACCAAACCAACCUUAAAAGGCCUAAUUUGAUUCGGUAAUCCACCUUAUUAACAUGAAAUGAUUAUUAUUUUAACUGAUAACUUUGUUUCAUUUGGAAGUCUGUUUCCUAUUUUCACUUUUUCACCUUUUGGGAACGGUUGUUGAAAGCAUAUUUUUCAUUCUAUUCAAUUACUUUUGCCCGCUAUUGAUUGUUUUUGUGGCACAGAUUGCAAUAUUUUAAGAAUUAUUAUUAUUUAAAUAUUUAUAAAAAAAAAUAAGGAUAAAAAAAGUUUCAAAAAUAAAAAUAAAAUUACAACAGAACAUCCAUAUGGGGUUUUAUAAUAAGAAGAUAUAAAGAAUUGUCCAUCAUUAUGAUGUGACUCCCACCUUUGUGAUUUCCACCUUCUGUCCCGAUGAAAUCUAUGGACAUUGUGGAAAAGCUAUUGCACUUAUUAUAUAUAAUAUUCUCUUUACCGCCCAAUCUGCGUUUUCAGCACAAGUCAAAGCAGAAUCCUUGAUAAACCUACAACCAUCCAACACAACACGAUGGAUGUUUCCGUAGGUCGCCGCUAGAAUGUCUCUGAACCUUCCAUCUGUCCAACAUAUUGACCCAUUUUAGGGCUUUUCGAGCUCCAUUUUCAGCUGGCCAGCUCAUUCUCAUUUAUGUGAAAGAUGAUUUGUGCUUCUAGACCUUCUUUAGGGGUUGGAAAUUGGAAUACAUAUAUAUUAUCGAGCCAUUCUAUGGUAUCGAAAAGUGCUUUUCGGUACCAUACAUUCGUUUUUAAACCAAUAAGAAUAAGCCACAUGUAAGGUAUAGUUUAAGUCGAUAAAAGUCAGAAGGUCAAAAGAUUGAAAAUGACCUCCAUAUUUGGCAAAAUGUCUACUCAUGCUAUCCAGUGUACUCCAAGACUCUCUCUCCCGAGAUUCCUACCGAAACGUCAUCUUCUAAGAGCUUCGAUUAUUGAUUUGACUAUUACAGAAUUUUAUUGGCAGCCAAGUCCCUGCAUUAAUUCCUCGGAAAAUGCUAAAAUAUCUCUAUGAUAUUUAUCCGAUAAAAGAUUUGGAUUAUCGAAUAUAUAUAAGAACGUAAAAUAAGAAUAUAAUAUAAUGAGAUUAUAAUAUAAAUGAUGAUCAAUGAUACCAUUUUAGUAGAUUAGAAACAAUACACUUCUAUACUCUCAUCGAAGCCUAAUUCCUGUUAUGUUUUCAGAUUUGUAAUUUCUUGCCUCAUUUGAAAAAACAAAAUGAGCGGUCGUAACAUGGAUAAAUAAUUUAGAAGGGUUAAGGAAGAAUAGGAUGGGCAUGAGGUUGACCUUUUCAAAUUGUUGAAGGAGUGGGGCUUGCAUAUAAGUGCCUUUUAUCAAUUGGAUCUAUGGAAAGAAGGGAGAAGAGCAUCUUUCCAUAAAUGCUUGGGAGAUGGGAAUUUCUGCUUCCUCAUACCCAUGAAUAGUUCAUGAUAUAUAUCUUCAGUCUUCUAAUGACAUAAAUGUCACUCUCUCCAUUGCCAAGGAAAAUGUGGGGCGGUGAAGAGAUAGGGUGGAUUAUUGCUUGGCUCUAAUGAUCUGGAGUAAUCUCCAUUGCUUGGCUCAAAUGCAGUCUCAAAAUUCUUGAUCUGGGGAGCUUCUGAAACAAAUGAUCAAACAGGGCCUUGUACCUAUCCAUGUAGUAGUGCAGUGUUUACUGUAUUUUCUAGCUUGUCCAUUGAAGAGGGGCGAAUUGUGGCAUGGACCCAGUGAAGUGGAGUAGAAAUGCCAAGUGUUCAGUGUCGGGGUCAGACAUGAGCACUGCUCAUUACUACAAGUUUCUCUCCUCUUUAGUAUCUCCAUGAAUUCUUUCUACCGAAUCUUGAUUUCAUAAAUUCAAAAGUUUUUAAUGAAUGUUAAUGCAUGUUUUAGUUGAUAAUUAGGCUUUGAUACAGGUAAUGGGGUCCAAUAAUAUCAUUCUUAAAGGGAUAGGUCACCCAAAUGAUAGGCAUUCAAAUGUCUUAAAUGACUUAACUUAUUUUUAAUAGACACCAAUUAGUUUUCAAAUGAAAUGGUCAAAGUCUGAUGAUCCAAGAAUUGAUAUUGAAGCCAAGAUCAUGGAUUUGGUCUACGAGAUCCUUAUGUUGAAGGAGGGAUUGUUGGGUAUACUUAAAAUGAUGAUGGUCAAAUAUCAUAAAAGAAUCAAAGAAAUACGAUGAUUUUAGGAAUAUGAUUUACCAAUUAAAAUGGCUCAUAAGGUCUUCAUGUAACCAAAAAAAUUUUGCAGAGUGAAUGCUGCAGUUAAUAAAGUUCUACCCCACUCUUUAAUUUCAGUUCUGACAUAAUUGAAUUGUUUGGAAAUACAAAAAAUGGAUCUGAGUGCAUACUAUUGCCCCGUCCAAGCGUCACUUGAUGAAUGGAAGACGAAACACCCAAGAUUAUUGAACCCACAUGGUACCGCAAUCCUCCUGUCUUCACUUGUUUAGACAUGUAAUCUCGUCAUCUUCUCAGAGAAUCAAAAUCCUCCCGAGUACGUCCAUUUUUCGAGUCAGAUGCCCACCAUCUUUCCCAAUAAAAUCAAUGAAGAUUCCGGAAAAGCUACUACAUGUACACUUUACGGCAUUCCCAUUACUACUGAUGCCACUUUUAGGAAUUAGGACAAGUCAAACGGCAUGGUUCAUUGCUUCCCUUUAAUAAAGUGUAGAAUGAAGUUUGCUCACGUUUCUCUAUAUUUCUGCUAAAUUAUUGAUUAUGGAGCCUGCUUCUGGCUUAUCAUUUCUAGCAAGCACUUUCAUUUUUAUUAUUAUGAAUAUUGUUACUUCAGUGCUCCAAACCUCUAGUACUGCUGAAGAUGAAUGCUUGUAGACUUUGGUGGUAGGAAUAUAUUCUCUGCCGAAAGCACCCAAAACCACAGGCAUAGUAGAAAAUGACGUCCAUGUUGGGCACUAGCUCUCUUUCUCAUUCUACUAAAAGUGGUUUAAUCUGUCUAGUGUCCAAGAACUACAAGGCUCUCUACCAAGAUUCCUUGCGGAAAUGUCAUCUUCCAAGGGUUUUCAAUUAUUGAUCUGGCCCAUUUCUGACUUCGUUCAAGUAGCAGACACAGGAAGAGGAAGAGCAUAAAACUCUCAACUUCCCAAACUACAGUAUACCCGCCUGCCCAAGACAGAAGAACAUGGGCAGGAUAUAUACCUCACAAUAAUUUGCAGAUGUGGGGGUUUUUUCUCAGUUGAUCAAUCAUUAAAUUGUUAAGUGAAAGGAAAGGGCUACAAAACGAGAGAAGAAGAAGCGCUUGCAGGGUGGACUUCUUCAAAUUAUUGAAGAGGAAGUGGGAUAUACACAUCAAGAGCCAGGCUUCCGUCAAGAAUAUGUUGAUUGGGUUUAUGAAUGGACAGAAACAAGCAAAAAAAGUAGCUUUCCGAAAUGUUUGAGAAAUGGGAAUUUCUGCUUUCUCAGACCCAGAAACAGCUCCUGAUAUUGACAAAUUAUACUGCUUUCACAUCAUUAAUUUUCUUUCUAGUGAAACAAAUGUCAUGUUCUGCUUUCUUUACACCAUUGAAAUGAUGAGGGAUAGGAUUAAUUAUUUAUUGAUGCGUCCAAAUUCAGGACCAGCUCUCGGCCUUUUCACAAUAUUCCUUUUGGGUUCGUCAAUCUGCCCAACCCUGAUGAAAGCGGAUCGUACUAAAUCCAUAGCCUACCAACAUUCGGGUGUGCCUGCUAUCCCCACUUUUAACACAGCGAACCUCAUUCUAGCCAAUGUGCUUUUUAGGUUAUAGCCCCCACCCACAAAGGGUAUAUAUCUUCUACCGGCCGCCGACCAGUUCACUCUCAUGAUUGAAGAAAGCAGGUGGUGCUUUAGGCGAGAUACAGAUUGAGCCGGCAUGCUUUUAAAGACCAGGUUCCCGCUUCUAGAAUAUUUAGUGUGCG
rnacentral:lncRNA from 1 species